rnacentral:lncRNA from 1 species
AAAGAUUAUAUUUAGCUACAGCAGUUGAUAAUUACAAUAUGAUUUUAAAACCCUCACACAUUACUUUGAUUAAAAUAACUCAUCAACUACUAUUAAGUUAUUGCUCUAAUUAAAGUAAAAAAACAUCUAUACGUAGGUAGAAUCUAAGAAAUAUUUUAAUAAAAUCAACUUUAUCCUAGGAAAGACAUGCUUCAUAGUUAUUGAAAAAAUUCUAUUAAAAUUUUAUGAUACUU